CCUACGGGGGGCAGCAGUGAGGAAUAUUGGUCAAUGGACGAGAGUCUGAACCAGCCAAGUAGCGUGAAGGAUGACUGCCCUAUGGGUUGUAAACUUCUUUUAUAUGGGAAUAAAAUGUUCCACGUGUGGGAUUUUGUCUGUACCAUAUGAAUAAGGAUCGGCUAACUCCGUGCCAGCAGCCGCGGUAAUACGGAGGAUCCGAGCGUUAUCCGGAUUUAUUGGGUUUAAAGGGUGUGUAGGUGGAUUGUUAAGUCAGUUGUGAAAGUUUGCGGCUCAACCGUAAAAUUGCAGUUGAAACUGGCAGUCUUGAGUACAGUAGAGGUGGGCGGAAUGCGUGGUGUAGCGGUGAAAUGCUUAGAUAUCACGAAGAACUCCGAUUGCGAAGGCAGUUCACUGGACUGCAACUGACACUGAGGCUCGAAAGUGUGGGUAUCAAACAGGAUUAGAUACCCUAGUAGUC
rnacentral:rRNA from 1 species